UACGUAGGCAGCGAGCGUUGUUCGGAGUUACUGGGCGUAAAGGGUGUGUAGGCGGUUCUUUAAGUUUAGUGUGAAAUCUCCCGGCUCAACCGGGAGGGUGCGCUGAAUACUGAGGGACUAGAGUACGGUAGGGGCAGAGGGAAUUCCCGGUGUAGCGGUGAAAUGCGUAGAGAUCGGGAAGAACACCAACGGCGAAAGCACUCUGCUGGGCCGAAACUGACACUGAGAGACGAAAGCUAGGGGAGCAAAUGGG
rnacentral:rRNA from 1 species